UACAGAGGUCCCAAGCGUUGUUCGGAUUCACUGGGCGUAAAGGGUGCGUAGGCGGUCACUUAAGUCUGACGUGAAAUCUCCGGGCCUAACCCGGAAACUGCGUUGGAAACUAUCUGACUAGAGGAAUGGAGGGGAGACUGGAAUACUUGGUGUAGCAGUGAAAUGCGUAGAUAUCAAGUGGAACACCAGUGGCGAAGGCGAGUCUCUGGACAUUUCCUGACGCUGAGGCACGAAAGCCAGGGGAGCAAACGGG
rnacentral:rRNA from 1 species